rnacentral:lncRNA from 1 species
UGGUGUGCCCGAUCCUAAGAUUAGGAUCUAUGAUGUUGGCAUGAAGAAGAAGGGAGUCGAUGAGUUCCCGUUCUGUGUCCAUUUGGUUUCGUGGGAGAAGGAGAAUGUCUCGAGUGAGGCAUUGGAGGCUGCUCGUAUUGCUUGCAACAAGUACAUGACCAAGUUUGCUGGGAAAGAUGCUUUCCAUCUAAGGGUCAGGGUUCAUCCUUUCCAUGUCCUUCGUAUCAAUAAGAUGUUGUCGUGUGCUGGGGCUGAUAGGCUCCAAACUGGUAUGAGGGGUGCUUUUGGAAAGCCAUUGGGAACUUGUGCACGUGUCAGUAUUGGGCAGGUUCUCCUCUCUGUACGCUGCAAAGACAACAACAGCCCACAUGCUCAGGAGGCUUUGCGUCGUGCUAAGUUCAAGUUUCCUGGACGUCAAA